rnacentral:rRNA from 1 species
UGCCAGCAGCCGCGGUAAUACGGAGGGGGUUAGCGUUGUUCAGAACUACUGGGCGUAAAGCGCGCGUAGGCGGCUGUUUAAGUCAGAUGUGAAAGUCCACGGCUCAACCGUGGAAGUGCAUUUGAAACUGGACAGCUUGAGUAUUGGAGGGGGUGGUGGAAUUCCCGGUGUAGAGGUGAAAUUCGUAGAUAUCGGGAGGAAUACCGGUGGCGAAGGCGACCACCUGGCCAAAUACUGACGCUGAGGUGCGAAAGCGUGGGGAGCAAACAGGAUUAGAUA